CUGGAGAGAAGCUAUAAAUGAAAUUUGCUUUCAGGCAUGGAGCAUCUACCUCUACAAGAUUUCCGAGAACAGCCGAAAACAGGAAAAAUAAAAAUCUCUGCCAUUUUAACAUUGCGGGACUAUACCAUUUCAAGUAAUUUCCAACAUUAUCGUGGGUAUUUUGACCUAUUCAUGAGGUUUCAGAAAAAUUGGGACUUACCCUAGAGCUGCAAAGAAGACACUCAUGGAGAAUAUUUAAGUUAGAAUGCAAUCUGAAGAGGAGAAGAGACAAAUAAGGAAUAGUAUAAGCAGAUAACAGUAACCUUUUGCCAAUUACUUUCCCGCUGGUAAUGAGAGAACUAAAAGAUUGAAAGUUAAACUCUUUUCACAUUAUACUUGUGGGGCGAGAUUUCCUAGGUUCUUUAUUUAUAUCACUUAUCCUUGUCUGGCAACAUAUGUUACCUAUUUAUUAUAGUAUUUUUACUGUUAGCAGACAAAUCUAAGGGCUAGCUGAGAAGGCUAGCUUCAUCUGAUGAGUUUAACAACAACUGCAGGGCAUCCUUUGGGGUAGCCAAUAGGCUCUGUGGAAGCUAGAAUACUCACAAUUAACCAUUUUGCUGCCAAAAUAUUUCUAUGUUUUCAAAUUUGUUCUCAUUGUUGAACAUAAGGGUUAGUGACUACAAAACUUUGUCGCUUAAACGUUUCAGUUAGUUUUCAGAACACCUCUUCCGAUGCAUCUUAAAUUCUCUUAAAAUAGCUAGGUGAAUGUACAGGUUUAUAUGUUGGGGGGAUUUGGGGUCCGGACUUCUUUUCUCUUUAAUCUGUGGGACACCAAUAACAAACAGCUAUCAAACAUCAACUUAAAUUGACGGUUAACCCUCUGCCCCACCAAAUACCACUAAUUCUCUGUUCUGCUACAAAAAAACUAAGGUUUAGAGUUUAAAUGCUACAGUUUCUCAGAAUUACAUGUCUGGGACAAGCCCAGAAGAGAGUGCUUCAGAGACUUUUUGUUCUACAUAAAUGUCUAGGCUAAUAGAAUUGCCAAUUAAAAUGACCUUUAUAGCAUUUGUGUAACAAUAAGAUUGCCUCUUUCAAAGAAAACACUGCUCGGUAACUAAAAUUAUUCCUUAGAAGAAUUGCAAAAUGAAGAAUUUCUCCAUGUUGUUCAUGCUCACCUGGAAUUCAACUGAAGCAUUCAAUAAAUAUCAUUGAUUGAUUGCUUGUC